ACCCUGCAAAGAUAAGGACGAUAAAGAAAAUUCACAUGUUUGUAUAUUGACUAGUCCUCCCACCCCAAACCACACCAAUAAUUGAACCCUCGGCUGGCUUCAUCCUCUUCAUACUCCCACUUCUUCCAUCAUUUUAUAUUUUCAGUGAAACAAUCAUGUUACAAGCUCUAAACCAAGCGCCUGACUCUAGUAAUAACUCUAAAAACACUGCAACUAGGUGCAAUGCAAUAGACACAGUUUUGCAGGGAGGAUUUAAAACCGGGAAAGUGACAGAAAUAUGCGUGGAAAAUGAGACUGGAAAAACUCAAUUUUUUCUACAAUCACUACUAGCAACUCAACUCCCCCUUCACUGGGAGGACUCUAUGCAUCCUCAAUCUACAUCCACUCACCAGGUCUGCCCCUAUUACAAGGUCGUUGGAGUUAAUGCCUUAUAUUUUGGAUGCACAUCAAAACCCUAGUGAAAACCCCUUGGAUCACAUAGUAAUAAAGGAGGUAAAAUCCCUUCAUCAACUACCCUAGAUCCUUGAUUGGGUAGUGACGAUCAUUGAGAUAUCGCUAAACACUUGUUGCUACACGCGAGUGGUUGUCGUUGACUCAAUAUGUGAUAUUUGUAUGUCACAUUUUCGAAACACGCGUGAAGGGAAUUUUAAAAGAACAUAACUUUUACGGGCAGUGGGUUAUGGGUUAGUGAAAAUUUUCGUCAAGUAUAACAUCGAUCUUAUUGUAGUAAAUGAUGUUGUCGGUUUGUUCCCAUAUGAGGACACAUCCUUAUUGACGUAUAUAAUCUCAUCUGGUAGAAAAUUGAAGCCUUCUCUUGGUGCGACAUGGUCCAAGUACAUAUGGAACAUGCUAUUCGUUUCUAUGACCCUCAACUCAAGCACACGGGAUUGGUCAAGAACCUUUAAUAUCAUAUUCUCUUAAGACCUGAAAGUUGAUGCUUGUAAGUUCACUAUAACGGAGGCAGGGAUCGUAGACUACUAAUUUAUAUCGUACUACGUUGAGAACGAACACCAACCCGGCCUGAAUUUGAAAUGAUGUAAGGUUAAAUGAAAUUAUGUAAGGUUAUUGCGUUAUGUUAUUGCCAUACUGUAAAUGAUGUAAGGUUAAAUUAAAUUAUAUUAUAUCUCAAAGAAUUUAGCUGGAUUCAGUAUCUACUGAAACUGGAUGAGCUAAAGUAACAUGAAUAAAAUUCAAUUGAGAAUAAUUCCGCUAAAGAAUUUAUCAUGUAUGAUAUAAUAUGCGAAUUGCCAAAAAGGUAUCGUAUGGCCUUAGGCAUAACGAACAUAUACCAGUCUGUAUUGUUUAAAGUAAAGAUCAACUAGAUUGAGAUCAAGAAAAAUCCUAUGGUACUUGAAAAGGUAAAUAGGAAUAGUUCUUGAUUCAAGGAAAUGAAGAUAUGCUAAUAUUGAUGCUACACGCAUAAACACUGGCAAAGGAUCAAGCAAGAUCCCUUUGGAGUUAACCAUUGGCAAGGACGGGCUAUGUGCAUCGUGUUUUGAAAUGGCAACAUGGAUUGAAAACCAUGAGUUGUUGCGUGGGAAAUUAAAUAUUAAUUUCUACGUUCUAAGAUAUAGCUGGAAAGUUUUCCACAUAUCUGUGAACUGCUUGGAUAAGUAAAUCCAAACACAGCAUCAUUAGCAACCUAUACAGGUGAAGUAAAGUACUUAUUGCCUAAGAAGCAAUUAAAGGGAGUUGUUUAUGUUAAAGAUUUUUUCACUUAACUUAUGUGGAACACAUGUCUGCUGACUUGAUGGUUCUUCAUUGCAAAAUGCGUAGAACCACUAUUGAAGCAAGAAAGACUAGAUCACAAAAUAAACAUACUCAAAGGAUCUUAUCAUCCUAUCUCAAAAGACAUUCGAUUAAAAGGAUAUUAAGAUUGGCAAAGCAUGAUAACUAAACAUAUGCAACGUACAAGUGAGAAGAAACACUCACAUUAUGGCACUGGAAAUCAAGCAUAGCUUUGAAUUCCAUUAGUUUUUUUAAAGAUGGGCUGGAGGCCCAUGGUUGAAAAACAUUCGGGUUGAACAUUUAUCAUAUAUGAAAUGCAUUUUCAUAUUCCAUUUAAUCUUGGUUUAGUAUUUAAUGAUGAGUCCUUUCAAUUUGACAAUAUAUUCAAGAUAGACUGUCAGGACUGUGACUAAGAAAUGUCUAUCAAGUGAACUUGAAUAUCAAAAUUUGAAAAUGGCCCCUGGUCGGAAGUUUUCUAUAAAGGUGGACGCAUAGAAAACGCUAGACGACUAGAAUUCAAGAUAACUAGUAGAUCUGUUUCUUGAACUAUGUGGACAUGGAAAUGUCUCAAUCAUUUUCAUAAAUACUUACUUGAUAAGAUUAGUAUCGGAUAGACCUGUGAAACUUUACUGUAAGAGAUGAAAAUCUGCCAUAAUUAAUUUCAUUAUAUUAUUAGACACUAAUCCUCAAUACCUGAGUGAUUUGAGAUUACUUGUUUGAGAACUGGUUAUUUUGACGUUGUCAAGCAUCGCACCGUAAAGGAGACUAUAACGGCAACACUCGGGUAAUCACCUAUCAAAUGAAGUCUAACCUCAAGAUCACAAGAUUGAGAUUGUCCUCCCAUAAAUCAUGAUGAGAUGCCAAAAGUUGUACAACGACACUCGGAGAGCUAGAAACUAUAAAAUGCAUGACCGUGCUCGGAUGAAUCAUAGGCUAUGAUUAUCUGUUUAUUUGAUCAUUUGAACUAUGAAACCGAGAAAUAUCUCUGGACAUAAUAAGGAUGACUACUCUUACCUUAUGUUCAUGAGCAAGCAUCAAGCGACAAAGGAAUUAGGAAAUGCACACUUGUCCCUAAGGACAAGUGGGAGACUGAAGGAAAUAAUGCCCUUGGUCCAAGUAUGCAUUCAAUGCUAAGUCUAAUAAAUGCGGUUCAGUAUUAAUUAAUUAUACAAGUUAAUAAUUCAGUGAGAUCAAGUGAACUGUAUGCCUAGCUAGAGGCCGCUUCAGUUCAAGUGGAAUUAAUAAUAUUAAUCCACAGCUAACUCUUGACUGAACCUGUAGGGUCACACAAAUAGUACGUGAACGGAUCAAGUAUUUAAGUGAAUUAAAUACUCCAUUUAUGGAUAUUCGGAAUCGACGGAUCUCGGUUCCAGUGGGAGCUGAAAUCGUCAAAAGGCAAAUUAUGAAUACUCCGGAAACGAUGAUAUUGCCGGAAACGGAAAUAUGGAUCGUAUCGGAAAUAUAAAUAUUAUCCAAGUCGUAGAUGUUGCCGGAAACGGAAACAUGGUACGUAUCGGACAAUAUUAUUGGAAAUGGAAAUAUUGCCGGAAUCGGAAAUAUUGCCGGAAACGGAAAUAUUGUCGGAAUCGGAAAUAUUAUCGGAAUCGGAAAAUAAUUCCGGAAUCGGAAAUAUUAAAUAUUUGUUCGAAACGGAAAUUAAUUCCGAAAUCGAAAAUAUUAAAUAUUGUUCGAAUCGGAAAUGAAUUCCGGAAUCAGAAAAUUAAUCGGAAGUGCGUCGUACGAAAUAAACAUCGGACGAGCUUGCUAGACGCAAGGCCCAGCACGAAGCCAGGCCUGCGCCUAGCAAAGCCCAUGCGCGCAAGGCAGCAAGGCAGCCCGCCAGCACCGCAAGGCCUAGCCAAGCAAAGCGCAAGGCCAGGCCUAGCGAGGCCAGCAGAGCGCGCGCCCUUAGUGGGCUGCGAGCAGUUGCUGGGCCGAGCCCUCUCCGUGCGCGCUCCCAGCGCCCCUCGUGGGAUGUGCGUGCGUGUGUGCGUUGAGUUUGUGCAUGCAUCGAAUCCUUAAGCGAUUAGGAUUAGAUUAAAGAUUAAUUUCCUAAAACUACUAGAGUUAGUUGUUGAAUUAAAUAUUAACUUAAUAGUUUUAAUUGAUAUCUAAUUCUAAUAAUAUUACAUUAAUAGAAUCCUAGUAGGUUUCUAGUUCCGAUAAUCCUACCCUAUAAAUAGGUGAUGGCAUUCACAAUUUAUAAUCAAUCAAUUCAAGUAUUCAUAUAGUUUUAAGGUUAAAACUAAAGUUAAUAAUUUGCCACAAAUUAUAUUCGAAUAACUUAAAACCUUAGGUUGAAUUCUAGU